GUGGGGAAUCUUGCGCAAUGGGCGAAAGCCUGACGCAGCCAUGCCGCGUGAAUGAUGAAGGUCUUAGGAUUGUAAAAUUCUUUCACCGGGGACGAUAAUGACGGUACCCGGAGAAGAAGCUCCGGCUAACUUCGUGCCAGCAGCCGCGGUAAUACGACGGGGGCUAGCGUUGCUCGGAAUUACUGGGCGUAAAGGGCGCGUAGGCGGACAGCUUAGUCAGAGGUGAAAGCCAAGGGCUCAACCUUGGAAUUGCCUUUGAUACUGGCAGGCUUGAGUUUGGGAGAGGUGAGUGGAACUCUGAGUAUAGAGGUGAAAUUCGUAGAUAUUCGGAAGAACACCAGUGGCGAAGGCGACUCACUGGCCCGUUACUGACGCUGAGGCGCGAAAGCGUGGGGAGCAAACAGGAUUAGAUACCCUGGUAGUCC
rnacentral:rRNA from 1 species